CUUCACCAUCUCUAAAGUCAGUGGUGAACACAGUGGAGAGUACAAGUGCAAGUGCAGUAAUGAACCUGAAGAUCAGUCCUCCAACAGUGUAACUCUGAUUGUUCUGUAUCCUCCAAAGAAUGUCUCAGUGUCCAUCAGUCCCUCUGCUGAGAUUGUGGAGGGCACUUCAGUGACUCUGACCUGCAGCUGUGAUUUAAAUCCAGCUGUGGAGACCUACACCUGGUAUAAGGGAACAUCAUCAGUGGGGAAAGGAAAGACCUUCACCAUCUCUAAAGUCAGUGGUGAACACAGUGGAGAGUACAAGUGCAAGUGCAGUAAUGAACCUGAAGAUCAGUCCUCCAACAGUGUAACUCUGAUUGUUCUGUAUCCUCCAAAGAAUGUCUCAGUGUCCAUCAGUCCCUCUGGUGAGAUUGAGGAGGGCAGUUCAGUGACUCUGACCUGCAGCAGUGAUG